AGGGUUGUAGUUAAUUAUAACAUUUGAGUUGCAUUCAGAAAGUACCAGCAAGGUCUACCUUA
rnacentral:tRNA from 2 species